rnacentral:rRNA from 1 species
AUUGAACGCUGGCGGCAUGCUUUACACAUGCAAGUCGAACGGUAACAGGCCUUCGGGUGCUGACGAGUGGCGAACGGGUGAGUAAUGCAUCGGAACGUGCCCAGAGGUGGGGGAUAACGCAGCGAAAGCUGUGCUAAUACCGCAUGUGAUCUGAGGAUGAAAGCGGGGGACCAGGCAGCAAUGUUUGGCCUCGCGCCUUUGGAGCGGCCGAUGUCAGAUUAGGUAGUUGGUGGGGUAAAGGCCUACCAAGCCGACGAUCUGUAGCUGGUCUGAGAGGACGACCAGCCACACUGGGACUGAGACACGGCCCAGACUCCUACGGGAGGCAGUAGUGGGGAAUUUUGGACAAUGGGCGCAAGCCUGAUCCAGCAAUGCCGCGUGCGGGAAGAAGGCCUUCGGGUUGUAAACCGCUUUUGUACGGAACGAAAAGGCUCUGGCUAAUACCUGGGGCUGAUGACGGUACCGUAAGAAUAAGCACCGGCUAACUACGUG